GAAGCGCUUUGGAUAGUUUAGUUGAAAGUGGCAUGUUUCAAAAAAAUAAAGUGAGCAACCAAAACUGAACAUUAUUCCACCUUUUAAAGAUUUCCAGAGGAACCAAAAGAUGGGAAAACUUUACCAAAAGAAAAACUCACCUGGAGAGAUUUCCCCACUAAUUAAGCCAGGAUUGUUUAAA